rnacentral:tRNA from 1 species
GGGGUUGUGGCUAAGUGAUAGAGUGCUUGCCUCAAACGCAUGAGGCACUGAGUUUGAUCCUCAGCACCA